rnacentral:sRNA from 1 species
GAAGGAGAAGUCAAGGUCAGGACCAAGUCAAGAGGGGAGCUAACUUUUAAAUGAACAACAGUUCCCUCAAGUCAUGGACAGAGAUCAGAGAGCUAGAAGCUUCCGGGUGGUUCCUAAUCUCCCUCUGAGAUGUUCUCAUAAGGACAAAGUGUACAACCAAAGGGUAAGGACUCAAGGGUGGCCCAGAGACCUGAAGGGCUAGAAAAGGAAUCCCAUGUGGUUCAUGUGGGAACCACAUGGCUUCAAGCCGGGGAACUGUGACUGCAGAAAGCCAUAAAGAAUGGCAAAGACAGGGACUCCAGCACUCACUUCUACCACCUACACAAUGUGGCUUAAGACCUCAGCUUCCUUAUCUGCAAAGUGGGACACAAUGUGCCUUUCCCCCAUGAAUGUGGGUUGCAUCAGGUAACUUGGGAAGGAAGGCCCGGGGGCACUUAGAAGAUCUCCCCCUACACCCCCUUUCACUCAAUUUUGGAAGUGCAUUCUUGGAUACAAUCCCAGCAUCCUCUUUUAACGAGCAGGACAAAGAUUCUGAUGACAUCACACGCUCUCAUUGUUAAACCAAAAGGCAGAAAAUUUCAAAAGUCAUAAAUGUCCUUAAAAGUGAGGGAAAGACUCUGGGAGACACAUCCCUCUUUCUUGCCUUCCAGGAAAUGCCGACUUUUUGAUAUAUAUAUAUAUUUUAAAGGAGUUUCAAAGGAUCCGUUCCUUAUGCUCAGAGUCAAAUUGAAGAGGCAUUGAGGUGUGAGCUGCAGCCACCCCAGCACCAGAACCUGAGUUGGCUCCCUCUAGCAUUGGCGGAUUAGAGCCUUGAGGGUGGGGGGACAUACAGGGAUAGGCUUAGUCGAUGGGAUAGGAGACACAAACAGUCUAAGGACCCUAGGAGAGGGUUCUGUUAGGGGAUGGGGUGUCUGAUCAGGACACUGAGGGUUCCUAGGAAGCACUGGGUCCUGGGCACAGCCUACUUCUUCCAUCCCAGGGCCCGUUGCCUCGGUGAUUGGCGCUAUGGAAACAAGGGAGGUUGGGGGGGGUAGGGCCCUGGCGGUUCGGUUUCCGCCCUCGGCUACCGCUCCCCCACCCUCCUAAUGCCGGCCAGGGUUUCGAAGAGGGACAAAGGAAGACCUGGGGGUUCCAGAGUUAGGAGAGGGAAUGGCGGAGGAAGAGGCCGGGAAGGAGCUGUGCGGCUGUCCAGGGUGCUGAACUUGGGAACCAAGCUCAGAUAUUCACCCUAUCCCAAGGAGACUUGACCCCGCCUCGGCCCAACUCACGCGUGCCGUCAAAGCGAGUGGCGAUGGUGUCCAGAAAGGUGUUUUGCGGGGCCAGCAACCCCUUCAUGACCGGCAUGGCCCCGGGAUUGCUCCAGCCACGUGACACCGUGACACCGAGUGGAUGGCUUAAACAAUUCUGGGAUCUGGAAAUCUGAGUACAAGGUGAACUCAGGGCUGGAUCCCUCUGAAGGCUGUGAAGAAGAAUCUCUUCCUUGCUCUCUUCCAACUUCUAGGUGGACUGCUGGUGACCGCUGGCAUUUCUUAGCUGGUGGGUGCAUUGCCCUGAUUUUUAUUCCCAUGUUCAUGUGAGCUCUUCCUGUUUCUGUGUACCCUAAUCCCCCCUUUUUUGUAAGACCACUACUUAUACUGGAUUACAGGUCUCCUAUCUCACCUUAGCUGACUCCAUUGGCAAGGUCACUUCCUACAUGCUGGGGGAGAGGAGGCAGCUGAGAUUGCAACGAGUGAAUUUGGGGGACACACACUUCAACCCGCAACUGGCACUUUUGGAUGGAGCUGUAGAAAAAGCUUUGCUUGUUCUCCGCUUAAGACCAUUCCCAGACUUCCAUUCUAUACAACAAGGUGCAAACUCUGCCGCUCAUAUGCAAUGGCUGCAUGAACUUACCCACCUCUUUUCCAGUGUGGCAUUGCUCACAAUCCACAGUACAGUGGGCCACACUACAGAUGCUCUGGGAGGCUCCUCAGGAAAGCUCAUGUGCCUUGCCUCUUCUGGAGCAUUACAUCCAGCCCUUGCCAGUUGGAUUCUGUGCCGUUGAGCAGUUUUCCAGGACCUCUCAGUAUUGGUCCCUAUUAUAAAACAGUAGGGGCUGAGGAUGUAGCAGUUGUUAGAAUGCUCGCUUAAUUGAGAUAUACGAAUGAAGCUCUGGGGUCAUCCCUACCAUUGCAUAUAGGAGACGCGGUGAAUCGCACUUGCAAUAUCAACACCACUGAGGAAACAGAGGCAGUAAGAUCUGAAGGUCAUUUAAGUUUAAGGUCAUUCUGGUCCUUCGAGGGCAACCUAGGAUACAUAACACCUUGUUUCUAAAUAAAGUGGGCAGAAGAACGUGAGGGCACAUCGGUACCUCAUUUCCACCCUCCCAAGCGUGCAACACACAUCCAUGGACGCUGGGAGGUUCCAUGCUGGAUUCUAAGUAUUUAGGAUG